UAGGGAAUCUUCGGCAAUGGGGGCAACCCUGACCGAGCAACGCCGCGUGAGUGAAGAAGGUUUUCGGAUCGUAAAGCUCUGUUGUAAGAGAAGAACGUGUGUGAGAGUGGAAAGUUCACACAGUGACGGUAACUUACCAGAAAGGGACGGCUAACUACGUGCCAGCAGCCGCGGUAAUACGUAGGUCCCGAGCGUUGUCCGGAUUUAUUGGGCGUAAAGCGAGCGCAGGCGGUUUAAUAAGUCUGAAGUUAAAGGCAGUGGCUUAACCAUUGUUCGCUUUGGAAACUGUUAGACUUGAGUGCAGAAGGGGAGAGUGGAAUUCCAUGUGUAGCGGUGAAAUGCGUAGAUAUAUGGAGGAACACCGGUGGCGAAAGCGGCUCUCUGGUCUGUAACUGACGCUGAGGCUCGAAAGCGUGGGGAGCAAACAGGAUUAGAUACCCUGGUAGUCCACGCCGUAAACGAUGAGUGCUAGGUGUUAGGCCCUUUCCGGGGCUUAGUGCCGCAGCUAACGCAUUAAGCACUCCGCCUGGGGGAGUACGACCG
rnacentral:rRNA from 1 species